CCGGCACGGGUGAGUAACACGUAUCCAACCUGCCGUCUACUCUUGGACAGCCUUCUGAAAGGAAGAUUAAUACAAGAUGGCAUCAUGAGUUCACAUGUUCACAUGAUUAAAGGUAUUCCGGUAGACGAUGGGGAUGCGUUCCAUUAGAUAGUAGGCGGGGUAACGGCCCACCUAGUCUUCGAUGGAUAGGGGUUCUGAGAGGAAGGUCCCCCACAUUGGAACUGAGACACGGACCAA
rnacentral:rRNA from 1 species